UGGGGAUGAAUGGUCAAGGUCAGCAUGGCCUUUAUAUCCUGGGCUACACGACACGCUACAAUGGCCAACACAAUAGGUUGCUAAGCCGCGAGGUGGCGCCAAUCCCAUAAAAGUUGGUCUCAGUUCAGAUUGUAGGCUGCAACCCGCCUGCAUGAAGAUGGAGUUGCUAGUAACCGCAGGUCAGCUAUACUGCGGUGAAUACGUUCCCGGGGCUU
rnacentral:rRNA from 1 species